UGCAGGACAGUGGCCCUUCAGGACCAAGUUUGGACACCCCUGGUGUAUGAGCUCCCGCUCUAUACACAGAUGACGGUCUUUCCAAGCACUCUCAAAAGGACACAACAAAAGACUGCAUCGUCUAUUUUGGUCUUGUCUCUGAGUGAGGAGGAGUGUUGGAGAAAUGGUGGGCUGCCCAUUGUGAGAGAGAUUGAAGUGAUGUGCAAAGGAGAUUGGAUUGACGCACUGCCGACUGAGUACCAGUGAAACACGUGCGAAAUCCGUGUUUAUCCGAGACUUCAUUUGAGGAGCACACCACGGGGAUCUGUCAGAAGAACUUGUGCCUGAAAGCCCCUUGAGAGCAUCUGCAUUGCUUAUGAAGAGUGUUUCGCUUCAUAUACAAACCAGUUAGUGCUUUGGCUUGGCUUGCAGCUGUUCUCUCAGGCUUAGUGUGAAAUAUGAAAAAGCUACAGUCCUUAAUGCUGCCAAAUAGGAUGUGUAUCUGCAUGAUAUUCCUGUCAAAGACACAUUGUUCCAACUAUAUCCUUAACCCCACCAUUAACCACCAAUAAAUCAAGGGGGAAUAAUUGGUAGGUAAAAAUGUUGGUGAAGCCCUAACCAUAUAGCCCAAAGCUCUAAAAUCUGAUUGGUUGACAGGAAUAUAGAGCACUGCAGUGCUGAUGCUUUUUAUGUAUGCAAACCCAGAAGACAACAUCACCCUGGUUCCCUCUCAAUAAAAACCCAAAAGGAUAUUCCCACUGGCAGAAAAUAUGCUCUGCGAUCAAUAAAAGUUUCAUACACAUUUUGUUCAUCAUGAUAGUCUAAAAGCUAAACAUUCACAAUAAAACCACACCACAGUUGCAUGACUUCAACAUCACCAUCAUUAAGCUUCCGAAAUCUUUUUUAGUCUUCACUUCCUUGAAGCAUUUUCCUUGAAAGUUUGAGUUAGAAUAGUUUGCUAGAGCGUGAUUAUAAAUGUAACACUGUGAAAAUGUACUAGUGAGUAGAAGAGUUUUACCUGAUGACAUUUAAUGGC